UUUAUUUUAGUCCAUACUGAUAAAACACAGGCCAAUCAGGUUAGAUUACCUUAAACAUGAAGAUGUUUUUUAAUGACAGGAAAGGGAAUUGUAUUUAGUAAUACAAUAAGUUGUUUGUAGCUCGAUGGGCCCAUGAAUACAGUUGCUUCAGCAAUAUGAAGAAAAUCUGUCUGCCCCACUAUAGGCCUGCAUCUCAGCUGUGCAAAAACUGUCCCAACAGGUCCACCCCCUAAGGAACUGUAUCUGUCUUCCUAUAUCUUCCUCCUCACAUUUGCAAGAAUUAAGUGAUCGAUACUCCAACCAGGACUAGAGGGGCCUUGCCCCUGGCCAGGCAGAGGAGGACAACUGAAUUUACCGGACUGUGUGGAUCCGCUGGCCUGGCACAUCAGAACAGCAGGAGUACAAGGCUCCAGUGGACACCAGCACAGAGUGUAACCUAAUGCCAUCAAGCUACCAGAGACAGAAUCCUUCAGUAUCUCUGGAGUGAAUGGAAAUUGAAUGGAGAGUAGAGGCUAAAGGUGGACUAUCGUGGGCUGAAUGAAGUCAAGUCACUGCUGAGUGCUGCGGUGCAGGACACGCUAGAACUAGAAUAGGGUUCCAAGCAAAGGUCUCGUUGCACCUCCAGGCGGGAGUAUCAGGAUGUGUGUGCUCAGCACCAGACAGCAGUGCCUCAGAGAUAAGCCUUUGCUUCAUAAUCUUACUACUGAGAUGAAAGUGUGCUAAAGUAAAAGAAAAAAAAGACAAUACGAAAUGCUUACCAUGGAAUUCAUUAUCAAGGAAGAGAAUUUACAAAUCAAAAGUGUUCUUCAAGCAAGAAAGCAAGAAAACAAAAAAAGUGGUUAUAACCUCCCUUGGACUUUCCAUCUAAGCUGGGAGUAA
rnacentral:lncRNA from 1 species